rnacentral:rRNA from 1 species
GAUGAACGCUGGCGGCGUGCCUAAUACAUGCAAGUCGAGCGAACGGACGAGAAGCUUGCUUCUCUGAUGUUAGCGGCGGACGGGUGAGUAACACGUGGAUAACCUACCUAUAAGACUGGGAUAACUUCGGGAAACCGUAGCUAAUACCGGAUAAUUUUUUGAACCGCAUGGUUCAAAAGUGAAAGACGGUCUUGCUGUCACUUAUAGAUGGAUCCGCGCUGCAUUAGCUAGUUGGUAAGGUAACGGCUUACCAAGGCAACGAUGCAUAGCCGACCUGAGAGGGUGAUCGGCCACACUGGAACUGAGACACGGUCCAGACUCCUACGGGAGGCAGCAGUAGGGAAUCUUCCGCAAUGGGCGAAAGCCUGACGGAGCAACGCCGCGUGAGUGAUGAAGGUCUUCGGAUCGUAAAACUCUGUUAUUGGGGAAGAACAUAUGUGUAAGUAACUGUGCACAUCUUGACGGUACCUAAUCAGAAAGCCACGGCUAACUACGUG